UGGAAUCACUUGCCAAGAGAGAAUCUAGUUCCUUGGAUUCGAAGGAGGUAGGUUAAAGCUGUCACUCCAGAGAGGGUGUGAAGACUGAAAAAGCCACACACUUAUUACAAGAUCAUCAUGUCCUUCAGUGUCCCAGUCAGAAAAAACACGUGGCUUUUUCAGAGCUCCUGCUAACCCCGUAGCAAGGGAUUAAAGGUGUGUGUCACCACCACCCAGCUGGACUUUUCUUAACACAAAUUCAAAUAUAUUUUCAAGUUGCCAACAGCGGAGCAUAAACCAAACACUGAACACUUCUAAAUGUGGAUCCCUGGGUGAUCACACAGGCACAGACAUCUGCCUUCGUAGACGUAUGAGUAAUAAGUGCAUUAAGACUUUAUAAGUUGUUAGUUAUGCUACAACAAUCAUAAAAAUCAUAAAAAUAGGAGAAGAAAUAAGAGCAUCAGAAGAUAAGACAAGGCCCUUCAAGUAACAGACACCAUUGUAAUGGACGGAGGACACCUAAAGACAGUCUUGUCAACCUCAAGUUACUCAUACACGUAACAACAGAGGGAUGAACUGUCACCUGACUUGCUGUGAUUCAUCAUAUCCACCCACCUCAAAAAAAUUAAUCCAGAACUCCUCCAGUCAAAAGGAACUGCAGGGACAAAGAGUGAAGCAGCAACUGAGGGAAAGGCCAUCCAGAGACUUCCCCACUUAGGGAUCCAUUUCAUCUGCUGACACCAAACCCAGAUACUAUUGCUGAUGCCUAGAAGUGCUUACUGGCAGAGGGCUGGUAUAGCUGUCCCCUGAGAGGCUCUGCCAGAGCCUUACCAGUACAGAUGUGGAUGUACACAGACAAACAUUGGACCAAGCUUGGGGACCUCAACGGGGAAGUUAGGGCAAGGACUGUAGGUGCUGAAGGAGUUUGCAACCCCAU